rnacentral:rRNA from 1 species
CAAUAGCGUAUAUUUAAGUUGUUGCAGUUAAAAAGCUCGUAGUUGGAUUUCGGGUGGGACGCAGCGGUCUCGCAUUGCGUUUGUACUGCUGCAGCCCUCCUUCUUGCCGGGGGCGGCCUCUCGGACUUCACUGUCUGGGGGUCAGAAUCGGCGAUGUUACUUUGAGUAAAUUAGAGUGUUCAAAGCAAGCUUACGCUCUGAAUAUAAUAGCAUGGGAUAACACGACAGGACUCUGGCCUAUCGUGUUGGUCUAUAGGACCAGAGUAAUGAUUAAGAGGGACGGUCGGGGGCAUUCGUAUUCCGUUGUCAGAGGUGAAAUUCUUGGAUUUACGGAAGACGAACAUCUGCGAAAGCAUUUGCCAAGGAUGUUUUCAUUGA